rnacentral:antisense_RNA from 1 species
AUUCAGAGCCCCAGCCUGUUCAUAAAAAAAAUCAGAUGAAUUUUGUCUGCGAAACAUUCUGCAAAAAUAUCUGACCAUCCUAGCUACUCUGGAGGCUGAGGCAGGAGGAUCACUUGAGCCCAGGACUUUGAGGCCACUGUAAGCUAUGAUCAUGCCACUGCACUCCAGCUCAGGAAACAAACAGUAUUUGUUCAACAAACAAAAGAAAAUAAAAGAAUGGUAGACAAGGAAAGCAGUGGAACAGCUAUGCAAGAAGCCUACUUUCUCUUCAUGUAACACGUUGGCCUAAGAGAUCUAUAGAGCUUUUUAAAAACAGAGAAGGCAGCAAGAUUUAAAAUAAUAAAACCAGCAAUAGGUAUUUUUUAAAGUGAGAGAAACUAUCAGAGAGCUGAAGCAGAAAAGCAAGUUAAAAAUAAAGGAAACAGAAAAGGAACUGAUAUAGCUGAUUUGAUACUAGAAAGAUCACCCAGGAGGCAGCACGGAGAAUGGAUUGGAGAAG